rnacentral:pre_miRNA from 1 species
UGGUUUGAGAGAUUGAAGCUGCCAGCAUGAUCUGAUUUAGAAAAUGGUAACCCUUUCUCUGGCAUACUGUAGUCUUAUCUUCUCUAGUACUUGCACCACACAGCAUUUCCUAUGUCCUAGCUAUCACGAGAUUUCAUUCUUUUGAACUCCCCCCCUCCUCCCAGAAAACAGAUUGUUAAUUUGGUGUAUGUGAUGGAUUGCUCUUGUGGUCACAUACAUAGGCAGAAUAAUUAAGUGACUGAUGAUGCAUGCUAAAGAGCUAUUAGUAUCAGUAGUACAUACAGACUACAGGGUGGAUGGUUGGGUUCAGAGGAUCUUAGAAAGCCCAGUUCCUAUCUGAUAUCCUCUUUUCAGUGAAAAGGAUUCCCAACCCAAAGUAGUUGUUCUCUUAAUCUGGAGCUCUGUGAUAGAAAAAUAUAUGUUCCCUAUUGGGUUCUGAUGUUUUUUGUUUUUUUUUUCUCCUUUUCCAGUCCUUUACUAGAGAAUGAUUAGUUAAGAUUAUGUGCAGUAAUGGAGUUCUGAUCAGUAGGCCAAGCUUCAGUGACCUAAUAAGAGGCUAGGCUAGCUAUUCUUUUCUUAAGCUUGUCCAAUCAAUUAAGGUCUGUAGGUAUAUAUGGUUCCGUCAGAUCAUCUUGCAGUUUCAAUCACUCACUCC